rnacentral:rRNA from 1 species
GUGCCAGCCCGCCGCGGUAAUACGUAGGUGGCAAGCGUUGUCCGGAUUUACUGGGCGUAAAGGGAGCGUAGGCGGAUAUUUAAGUCAGAUGUGAAAUGCCCGAGCUUAACUUGGGUGCUGCAUUUGAAACUGGAUAUCUGGAGUGCAGGAGAGGAAAGUGGAAUUCCUAGUGUAGCGGUGAAAUGCGUAGAGAUUAGGAAGAACACCAGUGGCGAAGGCGACUUUCUGGACUGUAACUGACGCUGAGGCUCGAAAGCGUGGGGAGCAAACAGG